rnacentral:rRNA from 1 species
CCGUCGGGGUCCGAGUUGUAAUUUGUAGAGGGUGCUUCGGGGGAGGCGGCGGUCUAAGUCCAUUGGAACAUGGUGUCACAGAGGGUGAGAAUCCCGUAUGCGACCGCGGCGGAACCCAGGUGAAGCCUCUUCGACGAGUCGAGUUGUUUGGGAAUGCAGCUCAAAAUGGGUGGUAAAUUUCAUCUAAAGCUAAAUACUGGCUGGAGACCGAUAGCGCACAAGUAGAGUGAUCGAAAGAUGAAAAGCACUUUGGAAAGAGAGUUAAAAAGUACGUGAAAUUGUUGAAAGGGAAGCGCUUGCAACCAGACCUGCCCGUAGGCGAUCAGCCGCUGUUCUCAGCGGUGCACUCGCUCUGCGAUCAGGCCAGCAUCGGUUCUGGCGGCCGGAUAAAGGCCUUGGGAAUGUAGCUCCCCCUCGGGGGAGUCUUAUAGCCCUCGGCGCAAUGCGGCCAGCCGGGACCGAGGACCGCGCUUCGGCUAGGAUGCUGGCGUAAUGGUUGUAAGCGACCCGUCUUGAAACACGGACCAAGGAGUAUACCAUCUAUGCGAGUGUUUGGGUGUUAAACCCAUGCGCGGAAUGAAAGUGAACGGAGGUGAGAGCCCUUUAGGGUGCAUCAUCGACCGAUCCAGAUGUCUUCGGAUGGAUUUGAGUAUGAGCAUAGCUGGUGUGACCCGAAAGAUGGUGAACUAUGCCUGAAUAGGGUGAAGCCAGAGGAAACUCUGGUGGAGGCUCGCAGCGGUUCUGACGUGCAAAUCGAUCGUCAAAUUUGGGCAUAG